UCUUGCCAAUCAUAAGGAUGCAGCCUGGAGCCCCACAAGACGCUGAGAGCACGGGAGCAGCUGCUGCCCGUCAGGUGAACUAGUUUCCGGCAUCUCUGUCUGUAAAGCUGCCCCUGCCUUGGUCCGAGGAGGAAAGUGCAUGGUGCCACCAGGCUGCACAGAAGUGAAUCAUUCCGGCUGGCUGCCCGCUGACAGAGAAGCACACCGGCUGCACCCUGACAGAGAAGCACACCGGCUGCCCGCUGACAGAGAAGCACACCGGCUGCACCCUGACAGAGAAGCACACCGGCUGCCCGCUGACAGAGAAGCACACCGGCUGCACCCUGACAGAGAAGCACACCGGCUGCACCCUGACAGAGAAGCACACCGGCUGCACGCUGACAGAGAAGCACACCGGCUGCAUGCUGACAGAGAAGCACACCGGCUGCCCGCUGACAGAGAAGCACACCGGCUGACAGAGAAGCACACCGGCUGCACGCUGACAGAGAAGCACACCGGCUGCACGCUGACAGAGAAGCACACCGGCUGCACGCUGACAGAGAAGCACACCGGCUGCCCGCUGACAGAGAAGCACACCGGCUGCACGCUGACAGAGAAGCACACCGGCUGCACGCCUGCCUAUGUGGGCUGCUCGGGAACACCACUUGCUUGAAGAGACCAGGAUCUUCAGCUUGUGGUGAGAGCUGACCAGCAGCAUCCCUGCCUCUGGGAAGGAACACUCAUCUACCCCUUCCACAGGUGAUGAAAACCAUCUGUUUUGGUGAUCAGAAGAUUACGGAUGCAUAACAUUUUGAUACUACACACUAUUCCUUAUUCUAAUGUGAUUUACAUUGUCUGAAAGACUUUACUAUAAAUGCAGUGCAAUGGUCACAUAAACCAUUGUAGAGGAGUGCAAGCUCACUUCAUUCGCCUAUUCACAUCAUCACUUUAGUAUGAAAUAAAGAGACUUUGGAAAUUUGCAAAAUCUGAAAAUAUAAAACAAAACAUGAAUCAUAUUGUAAAGCUUAGAAGGAGCUUCCGAACACUUGUAAUUCUCUUAGCCACUUUCUGCCUUGUAAGUAUAGUAAUUUCCGCUUACUAUUUGUAUUCUGGUCACAAGCAGGCAAUAGUACUCAUUGAAACAUCAACGCAAGCUGGUUGUGAAGACAUAAAUGUGUUGCCAUAUCGGACAAUGGAGAUGAAGUUUGCACAGCCGAUUGAUACUUCCAAGACAGAUCUCACAAUAUUACUUUUUGUGGAGAGUCAGUACUCACAACUUGGGCAAGACAUUGCAGCAAUCUUGGAAUCUAGUAGGUAUCAGUAUGACAUUGUAAUUGCUCCAGCGAAAGGGGAUAUUCCUCCCCUAACCAAGGAUAGCAGAGGCAAAUAUGCAAUUAUAAUUUAUGAAAAUCUUUUGAAGUAUGUAGCAAUGGAUCCAUGGAAUCGAGAACUCUUAGAAAAGUACUGUGUUGAGUAUAGUGUAAGCAUCAUAGCUUUCCACAAAGCUACUGAGAACAGCUUGCCAAGUAUCAAACUGAAAGGCUUUCCUUUACUUCUCUUCAACAAUGUAGCUCUAAAAGACUUUUUUGUAAACUCAAAUUCUCCACUGCUGCAUAUUACAAAAGCUUCAACAGUUGAGAAAGGUCCUUUGCCUGGAGAAGACUGGACCAUUUUUCAAUAUAACCAUUCAACUUAUCAACCAGUGAUUCUCUCUGAAUUACAAACACCAGAACAACACGAAUAUGCUUUGUCUACAUUUUCCCACCAUGCCACUGUUAUCCAGGAUUUAGGACUUCAUGAUGGAAUUCAACGAGUCUUAUUUGGCAACAAUUUGAAUUUUUGGUUGCACAAGUUAAUUUUUAUAGAUGCUAUAUCUUUUCUGUCUGGGAAGAAGCUUAGUUUAUCUUUGGACAGAUACAUCCUUGUGGACAUUGAUGAUAUAUUUGUUGGAAAAGAGGGCACUAGGAUGAAUGUAAACGAUGUUAAGGCACUACUAAACACUCAAAAAGUACUGUGCACUCAGGUUGCAAAUUUCACCUUCAAUCUUGGAUUUUCAGGGAAGUUUUUUCACACAGGUACUAUUGAGGAGGAUGAAGGAGAUGACCUUUUGUUAUCAUCAGUGAAUGAGUUUUGGUGGUUCCCUCACAUGUGGAGUCAUAUGCAGCCUCAUCUUUUUCAUAAUGAGUCCUCAUUGGAGGAGCAAAUGAUUCUAAACAAAGAAUUUGCACAGGAGCGUGGUAUUCCAACAGACAUGGGUUAUGCAGUGGCUCCACAUCACUCAGGUGUCUAUCCAGUACAUGUGCAGCUAUAUGAAGCCUGGAAGAGGGUAUGGGGCAUCAAAGUGACAAGCACUGAGGAAUAUCCACACCUGAAACCUGCACGGUACAGAAGGGGUUUCAUACACAAUGGCAUAAUGGUUCUGCCUCGGCAAACUUGUGGUUUAUUCACGCAUACAAUUUUCUAUAAAGAAUAUCCUGGUGGACCAAGUGAACUGGAUAAAAGCAUCAAAGGAGGAGAGCUUUUCCUAACAGUGCUUCUUAAUCCUAUCAGCAUCUUUAUGACACACUUGUCAAAUUAUGGGAAUGAUCGCCUUGGCUUGUACACGUUUGUUAAUCUUGCUAAUUUUGUACAAACAUGGACCAACCUGAAACUGCAGACCUUGCCUCCAUUACAGCUUGCCCAGAAAUAUUUUGAACUCUUCCCUGAACAAAAGGAUCCUCUCUGGCAGAAUCCAUGUGAUGACAGGAGGCACAGAGACAUCUGGUCUAGAGACAAAACUUGUGACCGUCUACCAAAAUUCCUUGUGAUAGGACCUCAAAAGACAGGCACAACGGCACUUUAUUUAUUUCUCUUGAUGCAUCCUUAUAUCAUAAGCAACUUUCCUAACCCAAAGACUUUUGAGGAAGUGCAAUUCUUCAAUGGAAACAACUAUCACAAAGGAAUUGACUGGUACAUGAAUUGUUUUCCUUACCCUUCCAACACAACCUCAGAUUUCCUGUUUGAGAAGAGUGCAAAUUAUUUUCAUUCAGCGGAAGUACCCCAGAGAGUGGCAACUCUGUUACCAAAAGCAAAGAUUAUUACUAUUCUUAUUGAUCCAUCUGAUCGAGCUUACUCUUGGUAUCAGCAUCAGCGAUUUCAUGGAGAUCCUACUGCCAUAAAAUAUAGCUUCUAUGAAGUCAUAACUGCUAAUCAUAAAGCUUCCAUUGAGUUACAAUCUCUGCAGAAAAGAUGUCUUUUGCCAGGUCAUUAUUCUAUACACAUGGAAAGAUGGCUGACCUACUUUUCACCUUCACAGCUGUUAAUUAUAGAUGGGCAACAUCUGAGAAGUGAUCCAGCCAUUGUAAUGGAUGAAGUCCAGACCUUUUUAGAAGUUUCUCCUCAUUAUAAUUACUCUGAGACUCUCACAUUCAGUACAGAAAAGGGCUUCUGGUGUCAAUUACUGGAUGGAGGCAAAACAAAAUGUCUUGGAAAAAAUAAGGGCCGCAAAUACAGAAUGAUGGACGUCGAGUCAAGAGUAUUUCUUUCAAGCUAUUACCAGGACCACAACAUUGAAUUGUCCAAACUUCUCCACAGACUGGGACAACCUUUACCAUCCUGGCUGAGACAGGAAUUACAGAAAGUGAGAUAGCGUUGAAGAAAUGGACUAAUACACAAUUACAGCCUUGUGGUUUCUCCGCUAUGAAAAAUGAUAAUAUAAUUCUCUUCUUUCACACUUAAUGAUUAUCAGUAAAGAUCCCCAGAAUAAGUCAUAAAUAUCAAGACAUUUUCUGAAUGCACGGGUGCUAUCUAUCAGCACUACUGUCAGAGCUUUCUCAGCAGAACAGCUGAGAAUUACUAUAAUGUGUCAGAUAAGUUCCUACAUUAAACAUGGGAGUCAUACUUCACCCAUUUCCUUUGAUAACAAGAGACUUCCAGUAACUGUUUUAUGAUUGGAAUCCUUCAUUUAAUACAACAUGCACUACUGUCUGAGAAAACCAAAGCAAUGGGCAGGAGUAGCUUGCAGUGGAAUUGAAGUGUAUUAAUUUAAUGAGGACAUCAACAUGUGGUCUUAGCUAACUUUGGAGAAUACCCCAGCUAUUGGAAACCAUUCUGCCCUCCUCCAUGGCAUAUUAUAUGACAUCAGUUUACAAGAAGCAAAUGAGAAAGAGAAAAAGACUAUGCUUUUCCACUGAGAUAUAUUUAUUUUUUACUGGGAUUGUAAUUAAUAUAUAUGUAUUAUAUAUAAACAGAGAAAAUAAUAACCACUAAAAAUAUUUCGUAAAAAGGGUCUUUUUAUUUAUGCCUUUUAUUAUAUCAGCUGUAUUGAGCAC